GCCCUCUCAGCAUGGCCUGAUGAGCCGUGCCAUGUCCCUGCCCAGGAUCCCAACCCUGGGCUGCUGAAGCGGGGCACGGGAACUCCACCACGUGGCCGUGGGGCUGGCCCCCCAACUCAUUGAAUUUAACAUGUGCUCUCUCUCUCUCUCUCUCUCUCUGGGUUGUCUUGUUUCAGUUUCGAUGGGCUGGGGAGUAAGGUGAACAUCCCUGAGGACUCCCCUUGCUGAGUGGACAUGUGUGGUCCUGGUGAAAGCCCUCACCCAGUGGGGCUCCUAGAGAUGUGACUCAGGGGCACUAAUUCCCUUUUGGUGCCUGGCAAACUGGGACUCAUCUUCCUCUGUCUGCUAUUUGCUCUGUAUUAUGUCUGCUCCUUUGGAAGACAAAAAUUUGUGUCCAAAGGGAAAGUUCCAGAAAUGCUUCCAGGGAUGAUGAUGGGACUUUGAUUUCCAACAGUUAUCAUAAGACUAGCAGCAGAAUGGCAAAGCAGAUAAUCAGGAUCUCCCGGGUUUCCAGUUUUACAACACAAAUAAGACGAGUGGUAAGGAAUUUUUGAUUAUUUCAAGGAAACUAUUGAGAUCACAGUCCGUGGAAUGUAGGACUGACAGGUCCACGAGGAAAUUAAAGUGAGGACAUGGUGAUCUGGCAUCACUUCCGAUCUGAAGGAACAGGUAUCUUCUGUAUGAAUGUUUGAAGACAUAUUGGAAAUCAGGAAUUUGUGGUGGAUGAAUACAUUUUCUGAAGGGUUUAUUUCUUUAUUUAGGAGGAAGAUUAGCCUGAGCUAACAUCUGUGCCAGUCUUCCUCUCCUUUGUCCGUGGGAUGCCUCCACAGCGUGGCCGAUGAGUGGAGAUGAGAGGAAAAGAAGUGAUGAUGGUCAAGUCUUCGCAGAGGAAGCUGCGUGAUCGUGGGAAUCAACCCAGACCAAAGCCCGGAUUAAGAAUUCCCAUCUCUUUGAGGAUGCGCAGUUACAUAUUCAGAAGGCCAGUUACUAGAAUGCCAUCCCACCCAGCAGUGAGGGGUCACUGGGAGAGCACGUGGCACCAGCCCCAACAGGUCUGCUGGCAGGAGAGAAGUGGCAAGCCCUUUGGAACUUGCCGUAGCCUUGCAAAAUUGCACCUUGCAGCAGAGGUGAAUUCCUGCGGGGUGCGCUCGCAUGGGGUGCCCCGUCCAGUCCCAUGCACACCCCUGCCCUUCCUCAGAUUUGGCAGAGAUGAUUCUGGGAACUGGUCUGGGCAUCCCACAGCUCCACAGCCAACAAUUGCUGGUGACUGUGGAAGAUCUGAGCAAACAGGAGGGGACAGGGAAGAGGGCGGGAGAGAGCAAUUGUGGACAGGCUCAGCAGCGAGGCAGAGAAAGUGAGCGCCCAAGAAGGAUGUGCUGACAGCACCAGGAAAGAGAGGAGACGCUGGUGCCCCUGCGAUGGAGCCCGGCACUUCACUGACGUCUCCUUGAAGGGUCCCACGUUUUCUUGCUUGAGCUCUUGCAACUUCAAGACAUACCAAUCCUUUUCUUUUAUUCAACUCCUCUGUGGGACAUAGGAAGCAUAGACAGGGAUUUCUUGUGGAGGAGAGACUGGAUUUCAGCUGAGUAGAGCAAGGAGGGCUUUCCGUUUCACGGUGCUCUCGCAUUUUCCUUUCCGAAGUAUAUUAUUUAUCUGCGCUUGAAAGUCACAGAGAGUUACCGAUUCGCGGGAUGAUUCCGUUCUCGCCCUCACAGCGACACAGUAAAACCUACCUAGUCGGAAUGGAUCAUUCCUUCUGUGUAAUACUCCGGUAGAUUCCAAAGAUCAUUUCAAAAGCGCUGGUAUAUCUCUGUUCUCAAAUAAGAGGUCUGCUUCCAGGUCUCCAUUUUUCUGCUCUUUAUUGCAUGUUAAUUCAGAGUUGCAAGGAGGAAAUACCACAUUUGCCUCAAUCUUUAGAUCUCUAUGUGCUGGAAAUUGGAUUCACAGAAAUGGACAAGGCCUUUGAGGGAUCGUGCUGUCAACAGAGACCUUUUCCGGAAUCAGCAACGUGACGAUAAACCGCUGCUUGUUAGGACUUGAUUGUCUAUUGGAGGGAUGGAGCUUGCAGUAUUAUGGAAAUCCUCUUUAGAAUUGCUUACCUUCACGUGACAGAUUUAUCAGUUUCUGAGAGUGAUGUGUUAAAAUAACCUAGGGUGGCGCAGGGCUUAAACUGGCCCACUCCACUUUGGAGGCCCGGCAUUGGCACGUUUGGGUCACGGUUGUGGACAUUCACACCGCUUAUCGGGCCAUGCUGUGGCAGACAUCCCACAUGUUAAAUAGAGGAAGAUGGGCACAGAUCUUAGCCCAAGGCUAGUCUUCCUCAAGGGAAAAAAAAACAAACCCGAGGAAGAUUGGCAAUGGAUGUUAGCUCAGGGUGAAUCUUAGCCCUUGGGCAUCUUCAGCUGUGGUCAUUUGCAAAAUAUGUAGACCAUGCAUGUACUGGGCAAGCCCAGGCAGGACAGCGCAGCCGGCCUCCCGCCUGGAUGCUUGGGGCUGCUUGUUGUGGAGCCUCUGCUGGAACCGUCUGGGUGGAUUCAGUGCAGAGAAUGAUGACAACGGACUGCCUUGCUUCACCCUCAGAGUUUCCCCUGAGCUUUCUCCAUCUUGACAUGCAAAGCAGACACUGUGUGGAGCCCUCGUGUUCCUCUGGGACUCGGGCUUCCCUCUGCUCCUCAGCCUGGAGAGGAGGAAGCCCACGUGUGGACUUCAGGAGAUUCCUGACCGCGUUUUGGGGGCUAGCACGUCCUGGGCUUGAAGUCCCCAGGGAAUGAGCAGAAUCCAAUCCAGGUAGGACUGCCAUGACCCGGACCCUUCAGGAAGGCAGGUUAUGGUCCCCUAACCAGGCAGAGCACCAUGACCAGCCGCGGGGUUUGUGGAGGGCGAAGGGAAGAUGAAAUGGGUCCUGGAAGAAGGUGCUUAUAAAUACCAGCUACCGAGAGGGAACCAGCUGCAAAAGCGUGCAUUUGAGGAGUAUGAGUAUUAUUUCUUGAUUCUGUUUGGAAUAAGUUAGAGUGCAUGAUAUAUUUGUGUGUGAGUGAACAUAUAUAUAUAGCUCUCUCUCUAAAAUUUAUAUCAAAGUAACAUAAAGACUGAUGAGAUACAGGUGCUGCACAUGUGGGCCUCUUUUUGUUGGCGAUCAGUUCAUUUUUGGCCAUUGGAAGCCCAAAGAGGCAACGAGUUAUUGUCCUCUGCCGUCUGGUAGGCUCAUGACAAACAAAGCGCUGCAACCAAAGGGUCGGCUCUCAGGAGCCUCACGGCCCUGUGAGGGAAACCCCUUGGACACGGUGUCUUCCUCCUGGGCCUGGACUAGCCUUGGGACUUGGCACUUCUCUUUCUCUGUGGCGGGAAGGUACAGCCGGCUCCGGCUUCCAUUUAGAAAGUCACCUUCCUGGAUGGCUGUGCCAUACCAAGAAGGGCCUGGGCUGCUGGGAACCAGCAUUCCUCCUCAGCUGCUGGCCGUACUGAGGAGGCCUCCCUGGCAGGGUUCACGCUGCUGUGUGUCUGGGUGACACUUGCAGCCAUCAGAA